UUCUUAUAGAAAUAAUUAUAAGUAAAGCCUGCCCAAUGUUUAAAUAAAUAGCCGCAAUUAAUUGUGCUAAGGUAGCAUAAUCAUUAGUCCUCUAAUUUAGGGCUAGAAUGAACGGCUUCACAUUUUUAUAACUAUUUCCAUAUUUUCAUUCUAAAUUUUAUUAUAAAUUAAAAUAUUUAUAUGAAUAUAAAAGACGAAAAGACCCUAUUAAAUUUUUACUAAAGUUUAGCUGGGGCAGCUAAUUAAUUAUUAUUUUAAUUAUAUAUUAUAUAAUCCCCCUAUAUUAUAGAUUGAAUCAAAUUACUAUAGGGAUAACAGCGUAAUUUCUUUUAUAAGAUCUUAUUUAAAAAGAAUAUUACGACCUCGAUGUUGAAUUAGUUUAUCUUAUAUUAGCAAAAAAAUAAAUAAGAAGGUCUGUUCGACCUAUAAAUAACCACA
rnacentral:rRNA from 1 species